UACGGAGGGGGCUAGCGUUGUUCGGAAUCACUGGGCGUAAAGGGUGCGUAGGCGGGUCUUUAAGUCAGGGGUGAAAUCCUGGAGCUCAACUCCAGAACUGCCUUUGAUACUGAGGAUCUUGAGUUCGGGAGAGGUGAGUGGAACUACGAGUGUAGAGGUGAAAUUCGUAGAUAUUCGCAAGAACACCAGUGGCGAAGGCGGCUCACUGGCCCGAUACUGACGCUGAGGCACGAAAGCGUGGGGAGCAAACAGG
rnacentral:rRNA from 1 species